UACGAAGGGGGCUAGCGUUGUUCGGAAUUACUGGGCGUAAAGCGCACGUAGGCGGACAUUUAAGUCAGGGGUGAAAUCCCGGGGCUCAACCCCGGAACUGCCUUUGAUACUGGGUGUCUCGAGUCCGAGAGAGGUGAGUGGAAUUCCGAGUGUAGAGGUGAAAUUCGUAGAUAUUCGGAGGAACACCAGUGGCGAAGGCGGCUCACUGGCUCGGUACUGACGCUGAGGUGCGAAAGCGUGGGGAGCAAACAGG
rnacentral:rRNA from 1 species